rnacentral:piRNA from 1 species
UGUAACGGAAGUUAAGCCAAUUAGACCUCCAU